UUUCACAUAAUGAUGAUUCCAUAGUUCAACUGACCGACGUUGAUGUACAUACUUAGCAAUGUCUUUCGCUCCUAUCUGAUUUUAUUC